AGGUAUUUACACAUGUUAUAUUUUGUAUUGUAUUUUUGUAUUUUGUUCGCCCAGUAUGAAAAUGCGAUGCAAGGGGUUUUGCCAUCGACAGCCAUCAAUACCGUUAAGCCCUGCACAACUAACGUGCUGUUUCCCAUUUAACAACAGAAAUAAAGGCUCAACUGGGACCACUGGCCGAAGUGAUUUAUUUUGAGAAAACGCAUGGAGUACAUUAUACAUCUUACACUGGUGCCGUGACCCGGAUCACUGGUUGCUGCGGAAAAAGGAGGAAGGUCAAAAGGGGGCCUGACCCAGAUGAGUGCAAUGCUGUUGCUGAAGUGACUGGAAUUCGAAUGGCAUUGACCCCAAUGACACAAUUGUGAACAGACUGUGGUCCACGCUGUAGGAACACUAGCCGCUUGAGGCGGAUCAAGUAGAGUCACAUAGAGGACAAAGAGGAGCAGCAAGGAGAAGAGGAGAUGGGAUCCUGAGGGAGCUGGAUGGAUUACAGUCAUGUUAACAAAUAAUAAAACCAGGGUUGAAUUCUCUUCAUUUAGCAGAGAAAGUUACUUUAUUUCAGCAUCACACAUACAGCAAGACAUAUAGCAAAAACUGUGUUAUAACUGGUUUCGUUCUGAGAUUUCCCUCAAAUGUAAUUGUUCAAAUACGAAAUGUUAAUUUU